GGAGAAGUCCUGCGUGGUGCCCACGCCCACCCGCCAACUUCUCAAACGGCUCGCUCGCACCUCCACCUAACGCGGCGCACCUCCCUCCGUUCCGCCGCCUCGCUUGAAGGGCUCGAGCUGCACACACGCAACUUCUCUGACCCGCCUUCCCGGUAUUUACACAAAGCCUUUUCCUCUCCACUCGACCGGCUUACAGACGUGGAAGUCGAAGCCCGUAUACCUUGGGACUGGCCUGAGGAGAUGUGCAAGGUUGUGCUAUGAAGCAUCUUGCCAGUAAUUCCAUCAAUCAUCAGCUAUGGGUUGUACCUCACCUGGAUAAUGCACAAUAUUCCAGUUCCCAAAAGCCUUUGAGUGUAUGCAGUGAAAAACAGAGGGUCAGUCUCAUCCUUUUGUUGUCACACCUGGUCAUGUGAAGCAAAGAAAAUAAAUUUUCAUUCACCUGUUUUACAGGGACAAUGCCUUUAGCAAGUCCUCCAGCUGCAUGCAUAAUUGGACUUUAUAUGUUAAUCUGGAGAAUCACACAUUUCUUGCUAGGCAGUCUGAAAGCUUUAAUUGAGAACUAUAAUAAGUUAUGUAAAGUAAG